CUUUUAUCACGAUCCAUUAUGUUUCUCAAUGACCUACCACUCUCAUUUAUAUGAGGACUCGACUUAGACACGUGUCGAUCGACUAUUGCGUAUGUUAUGGUGCCAGGAGGGACAAUAAGUAAACAGUUAUACCACAUGCACCCAUGAUAAAGUAAAGGAUGCUAAACAUUUUGCUUUGAUUCGUUCACUAAAUAAUUUGGAGGGACGGUAUAUAUGGUCCAUGAGCAGCUGAGAUCGAGCAGACCCUUUUGGGUAGAAAAGGGGAGUUUUCUAAAAGCUAAUUAAUUUAUCCUUUCUACUGAAUUAUUUGUAUAACUAGCUUUCGUUUGGAUCUAUGUGGAUGGAAUCAACCGAGAAUGGUUAGAGGGAGCCUUUGUUUAGAGUGCUAGGGCUAGAUUCCUCUUGAUCAAUCUAUAACAACAGCUAAUUGAUGUACGUCCCAUGGGUGUAUUAGCAGGUCAGAAAUGAGUAACUUUUAGGAAUAGGAUCAUCAUUCGACCUGACGGAUAACAACAAUGCUUUUAACUUAUGCACAGCCUCUUCUGCUGCAUCAUUGAUGUAUAUCUGUAAUAGGAGACUAGCAUAAGUACUUGUCCAUGAAAAAGGUUGAUUCCUAGUAAUGCCAUUAAUUAGUUAUUGCGCAUCACAUCGAGUGUUCCCUCUUUUGUUUAACCAUUCACACAAAGCAGGUGGACAAGCUUUCUCUCCACGCCGGCUUCAAUAAUGGAGAGGAUCGAUCCACGAGGAAUCACUUUCCAGCUUGGUCUACUACUAAAAAAAUUGAGUAGAAUAUAUCACAGCUUUUUGAAUUGCCAAGAAGUCUACUAACGAUGGUAUUGUGAUGUAAAAAGACCGCUUAUCUGGUUAUACUAUUGCAUGUCAUCAUUAAUGGUAAUGCUAGAGAAGUCAUUGCAUGCACAUUUCUACGGAUUCAUAAACCGUUAUCAUCUCGAUUAUUAAUUGUUAAGCUCACAUAAUCAAUAAUAGAGAUGACUUAUCUUCAUGGUCUGUGUAUAAGUCAUUUAUUCUUUUUAUUCGAAUAUUUCGUCUCUUUAGAUUAAUUGCCGGGAA